UAGGACUAGGAAGGUAGGAAGUGACGGUACAAAAAAUACAAAAGAAAGUUGCGGCAGCUCACCGAUUGAAACGACCGACUCAGACUCGGGGACAUGGCCGAGUCCGAUUCGACUAGUAAACUACAGACGAUUCUUCACCUGCUUGAGUCGGCAGGGUUUGAUGAUGUCGGGGGAUCGGAUUUUUCGGUUUCCGACAAGAUCACCAGAGGUCUCUCUUGGUGCGUUGCCGCCAAUUCUCCCUUAGACGCCGUUUCUACUGAAACCUCGGCUCACCUCGACAAAAUAGAAAAUAGUGAGCGUAUUGAAGAAGCGCUAAGUUCGUUGAGAUGCCCUCACCCUCUUCGAGCUUCACAAAUUGAAAACGUCGACUGCGAGGCUAUUUUACCUGUGCUCCGAUGGCUCCUAAGUAACUGUACUCAGAAUGAAAGAAAGAUUAGGAACGAACUGCAAAAAUUGCGAGAUAGGAUCAAUGAUGCUGGUGCCAGUACUAUGGUGGAAAAAUUGAUAUCACUAAUGGGGUCAUUGCAGGUAUUGGAAAGGCUAGAAUUGGACUGUAAUUCUGAUACAGAAUGCUCUAAAUUGCAAGCUGAGGUUAUUGAAUUGGAGGACUUAGUUGCAACUGGCUCUGAUCGUGGGAGUUUCUCGGAUGUUCUGAAUCGUUCUUUGCAAGAGUCUUUUGGGAAUCUGAGUCUGGCAAAGAAGGAACUUGCUGCUGAAUUAAAGGCUGUUCUAUCAUUGAAGCGGCAACUUGAUGAUGUUCCAAUCCAGUCAGAACUUAUUCAGUACGAACAUAGGUUUGCAGAACUGUAUGUUCAUAUCCAGGAUAAACAUCGACAAACCCAAAAGUACUAUGCAACUUAUAAUACUCUUUUGGAGAUUAAAGAACUAAUGCUCAAGGAAAUCUCUUUACUGAAUUCAAUCAGUUCACAGUUUCGGGAUGCAAUUACAACCGCUGCUGGUCGUUUGAAACUGAUUGAUUCCAUGGAGGGAAUUGCGAAAAGCAGCCAACAGAAGCUGGAAAAGGUGCAGCGUAGGCUACAAGAAGAACAGGUGGUCUGUGAUGCUCUGAAAGUGAGGUACUCUGCAGCAAUUGCAGAGCAAAGACAGUGCUCUCCUCUUUUAAAAACUUUUCAGGAGGAAUUUGUGAAGAAUGAUGGACUUCAGAGCCAAGGUGCUUUAUAACACUGCUAAAAUUAGGAAGAGGUGUGUUCUUGGCGCAACAAUAACAGCGAUGCUUGCCAGUGAUGGAAAACUAGAUUUGGGCAAAGCUUGGUCCGUACAAUUUCUGGGCAAAGCUUCGAGAAUUGACGGUGAUCUGGACAUUGUCGCCCUUACCUCCCUCUUCGACCUCCAAAUCUAGCUCUCCUCCACCACGUCUGAUGCAGUGUCCCACAUCGGUAGUGAAUGGGUUGCAAGUGUGGUUUAUAAGUGUGGACAAUCCUAACAUUGGUAAGCCGGUUUUUCAAUGGUUAGUUAGGCCCAACUUAUAGCACUUGGGCAGACCCAUGUCGUAUGUGGGUUGUAUCAUUCUUGGGGUCGGGUGCUUAGCCCCUCUAUAUGGUUGUGGAGGCGUCUCGCUACAUUAGUUGGUAUCAGAGUCAGGUUGGGCUGCUGGGUGCGGUGUUGCACGAAGACGUGUAGUUUCAAGGAGGGAGGGGGCAAUGAUGCAGUGUCCCACAUCGAUAGUGAAUGUAACGGCCCAUCCCGCCGGAUCCAGUCGAGCCCAUGGACCGCUACCCCCAACCCCUCACCAUUCCCAACCACGGCUGCGGAAGGUAGGAUGUUGAUGAGAGUCGAUCCCGCGACCUCUCACCCUUUAACAUAGGUCCCUGAGGGAUGGGCUGUUACAUAAAAACUGUCUUUUUAUAUUUUCCCCCCUCAGGAUAAAUUAAUAUUAUGAAUUGACCUUUCGAAAUUAUAUUUUCAUC